UUAAUGCUUGACUUACUUUUUAUCUCUUUUCAUUUUUCAGUUUCAUAACAAACUGUGAGUGAAUGAUGAGACUGAGGUCCAAUCAAGUGACGUUUUUUGGAAUACUUACGCUUAAUUUGCUACUCAUUUUUGAUCUGUUCCUUCUUUUCGUGGUAUAUACCAGGUGUAACUAAUCGGACAGAGUAUUGAAGUUUCAUGGUAUAAUAUACCAGGAGUGAAUGAUGAUAUCUAAUUCGUAUAAUUUUUAUAUGAGGUCCUUCAUAUAGUUUAGAUCUGAAGAGACUAAUCUGGCUGUCUUCUUGUUAUUACAUAUUGGCUUUGAUAGAAUUUUUUUCUGUUGCAUACCUAUUUUUUUAGUUUCAUGCUAUUGUUUAUAUAAGUAUUGACUGACCAGACUACGUUGUCAUAAUUUGCAGUUUUAAAAUGA